UGGGGAAUUUUGGACAAUGGGCGAAAGCCUGAUCCAGCAAUGCCGCGUGUGUGAAGAAGGCCUUCGGGUUGUAAAGCACUUUUGUCCGGAAAGAAAUCCUUGGCUCUAAUACAGUCGGGGGAUGACGGUACCGGAAGAAUAAGCACCGGCUAACUACGUGCCAGCAGCCGCGGUAAUACGUAGGGUGCAAGCGUUAAUCGGAAUUACUGGGCGUAAAGCGUGCGCAGGCGGUUUGCUAAGACCGAUGUGAAAUCCCCGGGCUCAACCUGGGAACUGCAUUGGUGACUGGCAGGCUAGAGUAUGGCAGAGGGGGGUAGAAUUCCACGUGUAGCAGUGAAAUGCGUAGAGAUGUGGAGGAAUACCGAUGGCGAAGGCAGCCCCCUGGGCCAAUACUGACGCUCAUGCACGAAAAGCGUGGGGGAGCAAACAGGAUUAGAUACCCUGGUAGUCCACGCCCUAAACGAUGUCAACUAGUUGUUGGGGAUUCAUUUCCUUAGUAACGUAGCUAACGCGUGAAGUUGACCGCCUGGGGAGUACGGUCGCAAGAUUAAAACUUAAAUGAAUUGACGGGGUCAUA
rnacentral:rRNA from 1 species